UACGUAGGGUGCGAGCGUUGUCCGGAAUUACUGGGCGUAAGGAGCUCGUAGGUGGUUUGUCGCGUUGUUCGUGAAAACUCACAGCUUAACUGUGGGCGUGCGGGCGAUACGGGCAGACUAGAGGUAUGCAGGGGAGAACGGAAUUCCUGGUGUAGCGGUGAAAUGCGUAGAUAUCUGGAGGAAUACCGGUGGCGAAGGCGGCAUCCUGGACCGGCAUUGACGCUGAGGAGCGAAAGCCAGGGGAGCAAACGGG
rnacentral:rRNA from 1 species